rnacentral:rRNA from 1 species
UACGUAGGGGGCAAGCGUUGUCCGGAUUUAUUGGGCGUAAAGAGCGUGUAGGCGGCCAGGUAGGUCUGCUGUGAAAACUCGAGGCUCAACCUCGAGAUGUCGGCGGAAACCAUCUGGCUAGAGUCCGGAAGAGGAGAAUGGAAUUCCCGGUGUAGCGGUGAAAUGCGCAGAUAUCGGGAAGAACACCCGUGGCGAAAGGCGGUUCUCUGGGACGGUACUGACGCUGAGACGCGAAAGCGUGGGGAGCGAACAGG